GAUGAACGCUGGCGGCGUGCCUAAUACAUGCAAGUCGAGCGAACGGAUUCGUAGUUUGCUUCUUUGUUGUUUGCGGCGCACGGGUGAGUAACGCGUGGGUACCCUCCCUCUCUUCCUGGUAUACCUUCGGAAAUCCGUCUCUUAUCCCGUAUAAUAUUUUUAUCCGCAUGGUUCAAGAGUGAUAUACCGUUUUGCUGUGACCUCUCGACCUAUCCGCUUUGCGUUAGGUAGUUGGUCUGGUAACGGCUUACCAAGGCACCGAUGGGUAGCCGAGCUGAGAGGGUGAAGGGCCACACAGGAACUGAGACACGGUACAGACUCCGACGGGAGGCAGCAGUAGGGAAUGGUGCGAGAAGGGCGAAAGACUGAAGGAGCAACGCCGCGUGAGUGAUGAAGGGCUGCGUAUCGGAAGACGGUGUUAGUAGGGAAGAACACAUGUGUAAGUAACGAUGCACAACGUGACGGUACCUAAACAAAAAGCCACGGCUAACUACGUG
rnacentral:rRNA from 1 species